rnacentral:misc_RNA from 1 species
AAAGAGAUAGAAAAUAUACAAGAGUUAUUAGUUGAAAGAAGAUAGAAAGAUAGUGGAAAGAAGAAGGCAAUGUACGGUUUGGUUAUAUGUCGAUGGUUGGUGCACAACAAAUGGUCGACAUGUUUCAUCAACGAUGCGGUCGUCGUGUAACUUUAACAAACAACAAUUGCACAGCCAUACGGGAUUUUUCAGAAUAUAAUUAUGGAUUGGUUCUCAGUGCUGAACCACUUAAGGAUGAUGAACUUUUUGAAAUUCGCAUUGAUAAAAAGAUGACAUCAUGGAGUGGUAGUAUAGAAAUUGGAGUAACAGAAUGUGAUCCAGAAAUAAUGGAAUUACCAGCUUGUGCCACUAAUCUACGACAAGGAACAUGGAUUAUGUCUGAUUCUGGCAUAAUGCAUGAUGGUAUAAGAACAGUAGAAAUGUAUGGAAUGGAUCUGAAUGAAUUAGAAGAAGGAAGUACAUUAGGAGUAAUGAGAACAUCUAAUCAUGAAUUGAUAUUUUAUAUUAAUGGUGUUUCUCAAGGAGUAGCUGUAUGCAAUAUUCCAGAACGCAUUUUUGCAGUAAUAGACAUGUAUGGUGAUUGUGUACAAGUGACUAUAACUCAUCCUCAAAUUGCUGCUACUUUAUGUAAUGAACCAAAAGAUGAAGUUGAAAUUAAUAAUGAUUAUGCUCUUGGAGAAGCAUCUAAUUCCUCAACAACUAAUCUAGUCGCUAAUUUGAAUGUCAAUUUAAAUGUUAAUGUUAAUGUUAAUUUACCUAAAAACCCAAGUCCUGCUGCCAUUAGAGAAGAUAGAUUGAGAUUUCAUGAGAGAGUUGGCUCACUUGUAAAGUUAUCUAAUAAUGCUAGAACUGCAGAAAGGCGCAGACCUUUAGAUGAAUUUAAUAAUGGAGUAGUAAUGACACACAGACCAUUACGGGAUAAUGAAUUAUUUGAGGUACGAAUUGAUAGACUUGUACACAAAUGGUCAGGCAGUAUAGAAGUUGGAGUUACUAUGCACAGUCCAACAGCAUUAGAAUUUCCAGCCACAAUGACUAAUAUGCGAUCAGGUACAACAAUGAUGUCUGGCUGUGGAAUUUUAGUAAAUGGAAAGGGCACUUGUCGUGAAUAUGGAGAAUUUAAUUUAGAUGAAUUAAGGGAAGGUGAUAGAGUAGGUAUGAUAAGACGAAGUAAUGGAAAUCUUCAUUAUUUAAUAAAUGGAUUGGAUCAAGGUAUUGCUGCUAAAGUACCUGCUGGUGUAUGGGGUGUUAUAGAUUUGUAUGGUAUGACAGUAAAAGUAACAAUUGUUGAUCGUGAUGAAAGGGAAGAACAAAAUCUAGUUACUAGAAGAAAUACAUUACAAUUGCAAGGCUUAAAUGAAGAAGAACCACCAGACAGACUUAUGUUUCAUUCUUGUUGCGGUACGCAUGUCGAAGUAAUUAAUAAUGGACGUACUGCGCAUAGGCCUAAUGUAAUGGAUGACUUCAACAAUGGUGUUGUAUUGACUUCAAGACCAUUGAAACCAAAUGAAUUAUUCGAAGUAAGAUUGGAUAAAAUUGUAACAAAGUGGGCAGGAUCUAUUGAAAUAGGAAUUACCACUCAUUCUCCAACCGAAUUAGAAUUUCCCUUCACUAUGACAAAUGUUAGAUCCGGCACGUGGAUGAUGACAGAAAAUGGAGUUAUGCAUAAUGGCACUACCAUAAUAGAUCAAUAUGGUCAAAAUCUUGAUAGAUUACAAGUCGGAGAUCGUGUAGGUGUAAUGCGAAAAGAAAACGCAACGUUACAUUUUUACGUAAACGGUGCUGAUCAAGGAGCCGCAGCAAUGAACGUGCCUGAGAAAGUUUACGGUGUUAUAGAUCUUUAUGGCCAGGCAGCACAAGCAACUAUAGUUUAUAAUACAGACUUCUAUAGUCCUACCACAAAUAAUUCAAGUUUUAGCAAUACAACAUUAUAUAGUGAUUUGAGGUUUCAUCAUAUACAUAGUAAAAAUGCAAAAAUAAUAAACAAUGGAUUAACUGCAUUAAGGCCUAGAGCUUUAGGAGAAUUCAACGAAGCCAUUGUAAUCGCAAAUCGCGCACUACGUGAUGGCGAAAUGUUUGAAGUGACAAUUGAUAAAAUGGUUGAUAGAUGGACAGGAGCAAUUGAAGCAGGUGUAACUCUUAUAAGACCUGAUGAAUUGGAAUUUCCAUCUACUAUGACAGAUAUUGAUCACGAUACUUGGAUGUUAUCUGGAUCUAACGUUAUGCGAGAUGGUGUUAUUUUAAGAAAUAAUUAUGCUUGUGAUUUAGAUAAAUUAGUAGAAGGUAAUCGCAUUGGUAUGAUGCGAUGUUCAGAUAGUAGUUUGCAUUAUUAUUUAGAUGGAGUAGAUCAGGGACCUGCUUGUACAGGUGUACCGUCACAUAUCUAUCCUGUGAUUGAAUUAUAUGGACAAUGUGUUCAGGUUACAAUUGUACAACCAGAACGUAGAGAUCCAAUUACACAACAGUAUUUGCCAUCAGAAAACAGUACUAGUCAACAACCUACAUCUGUAAUUCAGCUUCAAGCUCAAACAGAAAUAAUGCAUAAAUUUCAUGAAUCUGUUGGCUUAAAUGUUCAAUUAAAUAGUGAUAGGACAGUAGCAACUAGGUGUAGAGAAUAUAAUAAUGCUAUAUUAUUAAGUGAAACACCAUUAGAGAAUAAUGAACUUUUUGAAAUUGCUAUUCAAGAAGUUGCUCGUCAAUGGAGUGGUUGUUUAAGGAUAGGUGUUGUAAAAAAUGAAAGUGGAAAUUGGUUAACAUCUAUGAAUCUUGUACCUGGCAUGGGAUCUAUUUCAACAGAUGCAUGGUAUUUAACAGGUAAUGAAGUAAGACAUAAUGGUUAUGUUUUAUGUAUAAAUUAUUGUCCAAGUUUGGAAUGGCUGCGUGUUGGUGAUAAAAUUGGAUUGAAACGUACUCAUGAAGGUAAUUUAAAGUUUUAUAUAAAUGGAGAGGACAUGGGUAUAGCGGCAUCAGGCAUACCGGAAAUGGUGUAUGCUGUGAUCGAUCUUUUUGGUAGUACAGUGGCUGUAAAUAUAACAAGUAGUAAACAACAAAACAAUGUAGUAUCUCCAAAUGCAAGCUUGAGAUUACAAGAUUCUUUGGAAUUAUUGUUAGAUCCUAUGCCGCCUGUUUUGCGAAAUGAUGCUGGAAUGGACACAUCUAUAGAUAUAUCUGAAGGAAAAUUAGUAAAUGAUACAAUACUUACACCGACACAAUCUGCAGCUCAUUUGACAGGAGAAAAUGAUUGGAAUUAUGAAUUUCAUGAAAAUCAUGGUAGAAACAUUCAACUUGAAAGUAAAACAAUUGCACGAAGAGUUGCAAGUUAUAAUCAAGGAGUGGUAAUGUCUAGUCGACCCUUAAUGAAAGCUAAGCCAUUUUUGGUGAAAAUAGAGAAAUUGAACAAACGAUGGGUAUCUAAUAUUUAUUGUGGUGUAACUUGCAUUUCACCUGAAAAAGCUAAUUUUCCUUUAACUGCUCUUGGCUUUAAAAAGCAUUCUUGGAUUAUUUGUAGUGAUUGGAUAUCACAUAAUGGUAUAAGAGUAAAAACAAAGUAUGGACUUGCUUUAGAAAAUCUUCAUGUUAAUUCCGUAGUGGGUGUAUUUAUUGAUGACGAUAAUAGAUUACAUUUAAUUAUCAAUGGCAUAGAUCAAGGUGUAGCUGCAACAGAUUUACCACCUUAUGUUUAUGCUGUAUUUGAUCUAUAUGGACAGUGCGAACAAAUUUCCAUUGUUUCAAAUAAUGGAGAACCGUUUUCAUCUACUACUGUUAGUAAUACCCUCACAUCUGUAGAAUGUAUAAAGACAAAGCUGGAGGAUACAGAAAAUUCAAGAGAGAAAGCAGAUUUAGAAUGUCAUGAGAAAGAAAAUAUUAUGGCAGCUACUUCUUCAGAUCUAUCUUCCUCCACUUCGCCAAGUGUGCCGAGUCAAUGCAAUUCAAAUGUUAAAGAUGAUGAUAUUGUAGGAUAUACAACGCGUAAUAAUGAUAAUAUGCAUUUAACAAAUAAUAUUGAAAAUAAAGCAGUGCCCAGUAUCUCAGACAGUAAUAAUUUAGAUUCGAAUUCAGAUAUAAAUCAUGAUACAACACGAAGUAUUAAAAACAAAUCUUAUGAUAAUUCAAAUCAGUUAAAUAAUAGUGCGAUAUUGAAUAGUCAAUCAGAAAAUUUGAGUAUUAGAAAUGAAUGUACAAAUGUAGAAAUAAAUAACGCAACUAAUAUUAAUAUUAAAAAUGGCACUGCAAACAGCACCAGUAACAUAACUAACUUAAAUACUAACACUAAUAAUGCGAUAAACGAAAGCAUAAUGUCUAAUAGUCAAGGGAAUAAUAUGAGUUCCUUGCAUCAAAAUAAUGCAUCUGUUAAUAUGUUAAAUUCAUCUCAGACAUUUUCCUCUCAUAAUACAUUAAAUAACGCAACAUCUGAAAUUUCGAAUACUGUUUCUUCUAGUUUCAACGAAAUGCGAUCAAAUAUAUCUUGGAAUAACAUCGUAUCUGUUGAUAAUUCUGUCAGUGGAAAUACAAUUUUAGGACAAAAUACAGUCUCUAUUUACAAUAUACCUUCUAUGUUACAUUCAUCGUUACCGUCCACUCCUCUUGGAACAAAUAUAAUAUCCACAAAAAAGUGUGAAUAUUUAAAGGCGUGUAUGAGAUUAAAAAAAUCACUUGUUUUACCAGAUGAAUUCUUUUCUUUAGAAGAUAUACUAUGUUAUUGUAACAAUUGUUAUAAAGUAGAAGGGGAUAGUGCAAUAUGUAAGAAAGGUGAACCACCAGCAGAGUUUGCUGUACCAAUUGGAUGGACCAGAUUUCCUUUGAAACAAAGUAUUAAUGCUAAUCAAAUUCCACAAAAUACAAUUGAUAAAUGGCAUGUUGCUUUUUAUGGCAUACGUCUGGACGCAAUUAGAUUAAUUUUGGAUACAGGAGAAUUAAUGCCAAAAGAACAAUUAGAUUUGAGUAAUUUAACAAUGAAUAUAAAAAUGGAAGAUCAAAAUCCUCAAGUAGUUUUCUCUCCUAGUAUAAAAUAUGCAGCAUCCGAAGAAUUUACCAAAAAAUAUCCAUAUAUCGAUACUCAAUCAAAUAAAAAGUUAAAUGCAUCUACAGCAUUUCAAUUAUUAGUAAGGCCUGGCUCAUAUACAAUCAAUUCUGGUAGUAAAGAUAGUGAUGAUUCACAAUUUCAAUCUGUCAAAUGGGCUACUAAAGAAGCUGGAGCUACAGUUAUCAUGGCUCUUUUAAUUCAUCUUGAUGGAUUUUAAUUUAUAUAAUACGAAAGUGAGAAAACAUUUCAUAUGCGACUGUUACGAGAAAUACACUUUCGUUUAAAGUUGACGAAUGAGCAGGAGGCAAUAGCCAUACCAUUUCCAGUAACGCUAAGCGAUGUUACACGAUUUUCGUGGCCCGUCAAAACACCUUUGAAUGAAAGAAUAUGAAUCUUCCGCUUAAAGAUAAACCACAAGAUGUAUAUCCGGGAUUUGAAUUUGAAGGUUUAAAGGUAGCUAAUUGUUGAUCCGAUCUUAGAUCCCACAAUCUCGCUGUUUUAUCUUCCGAAGCUGUUACAAAAGCUUGUCCCGAAGGAUGAUACUAAAUAGAACAUAAUUUUUUGCAAAUAAGAUAUGGAUACAUUUUCAUAUCACCGGAUCCAGUGAUUAUUUUUUUAUCUUCCAAAAAUCUGCAGGAUGAGAGAAAACCUUCGUAUCCUAAUAAUUCUCGAACGAUCUUAGCUGAUCCUGUGGCAUCACGAUUGUUCACAUCAUAGAUAGUACACAUAUUGUCCAUACCACCACAAGCAACGAAAUUUCCCGAGGGUGCAAAAGCUACUGACAUUACCCAUGCUGAGCGCAAUGGGAUUACUUGGACUUUGUUUCCAGUCCAUGAAUCCCAAAUAAUCAAUUUUCCGUCCAGUGAACCAGUCACGCAAUGUCUAAAAAGAGAUACUUAUUUAGAUCAUUCAAGAUUGGAGUGUUGCGGUUGAUUUCUUGGGAUAAAGAUCAAAAGAUCGAUAUUCAAUACUGACCUACUAUCACCACUAUAAUGUACCGAAUUUACUUUAUUGAUAUGUCCCUUUAAUAAUUUUUUAGUAGAUAAUUUAACUUUUGGAGCAUCUGCUACACUACUACAUGUUUCCUCCAAAGUUGUAUCUUGUUGUUUCUUUUGAUCUUCCUGAUAUGCAAUAGAACAAGUUUUCAAUUGAUAUCAAGGUAUGAUAUUAAAAUUUUUUCUAUUUUAAUUAAAAAAUAUUUUUCUAAUACAACCUUGCAUCUAUUGAUCAAAUCUUCUAGCUCUUUUUUUAAAGCUAUGGUUUCUGCAUCAUCCUUCCCCAUUUUCUAUUUAAAUCUUACUUUAUUUGGAAACUUAUCAAGGAACUGAGAUUGAAACACCAACUAUGAUAGACGUAGGAAUACUGCGAAUAAAUUUUUAUCAAAAUGUAAAA